AUUGAACGCUAGCGGGAUGCCUUACACAUGCAAGUCGAACGGAGUGGCGAACGGGUGAGUAAUGUAUCGGAACGUGCCCAGUAGCGGGGGAUAACUACGCGAAAGCGUAGCUAAUACCGCAUACUAUUGGAGCGGCCGAUAACGGAUUAGCUAGUUGGUGGGGUAACGGCUCACCAAGGCGACGAGCCGUAGCUGGUUGGCGAGGACGACCAGCCACACGGUGACUGAGACACGGCCCAGACGCUUAGGGGAGGCAGCAGUGGGGAAUUGUGGACAAUGGGGGAAACCCUGAUCCAGCCAGCCCGCGUGUGCGAUGAAGGCCUUCGGGUUGUAAAGCACUUUUGGCAGGAAAGCGGUACCUGCAGAAUAAGCACCGGCUAACUACGUGCCAGCAGCCGCGGUAAUUC
rnacentral:rRNA from 1 species